GUAGGCGGCAAGUUAAGUGGGUAGUGAAAUCGUGUGGCUCAACCAUACAGACAUUAUCUAAACUGGCUAGCUAGAGUAUGAUAGAGGUAACUGGAAUUCCAAGUGUAGGAGUGAAAUCCGUAGAUAUUUGGAGGAACACCGAUGGCGUAGGCAGGUUACUGGAUCAUUACUGACGCUGAGGCACGAAAGCGUGGGGAGCAAACGGGAUUAGAUACCCCGGUAGUCCACGCCCUAAACUAUGGAUGCUAGCUGUGAGGAGUAUCGACCCUCUUCGUAGCGAAGCUAACGCGUUAAGCAUCCCGCCUGUGGAGUACGAGCGCAAGCUUAAAACAUAAAGGAAUUGACGGGGACCCGCACAAGCGGUGGAGCGUGUUGUUUAAUUCGAUGGUAAGCGAAGAACCUUACCCAGACUUGACUUCCUUGUCAUCGUUCUGUGAAAGCAGAAUUUCAUUUAGUUGGACAAGUGACAGGUGAUGCAUGGCCGUCGUCAGCUCGUGUCGUGAGAUGUUAGGUUAAGUCCUUCAACGAGCGCAACCCUUGUAAGUAGUUGAAUUUUUCUACUUAGACUGCCCUGGUAACAGGGAGGAAGGAGGGGAUGAUGUCAGGUCAGUAUUUCCCUUGCGUCUGGGGCUACAAACACGCUACAAUGGCCGGUACAAAGGGCUGCCAACCCGCGAGGGGGAGCAAAUCCUAUCAAAGCCGGUCUCAGUUCGGAUUGCAGGCUGAAACUCGCCUGCAUGAAGCUGGAAUCGCUAGUAACGGUAAGUCAGCACAUUACCGUGAAUACGUUCCCGGGUCUUGUACACACCGCCCGUCAAACCAUGAAAGUCACCAAUACCUGACGUCCUGACUUGUUCAGGCCUAAGGUAGGGGGGAUGAUUGGGGUU
rnacentral:rRNA from 1 species